rnacentral:misc_RNA from 1 species
GCAAACUUGGUCAUUUAGAGGAAGUAAAAGUCGUAACAAGGUUUCCGUAGGUGAACCUGCGGAAGGAUCAUUAUCGAAUACUCUCGAUGGGCUGUCGCUGGCUCCUUGGAGCAUGUGCACGCUUGUCUUGAAUCUAUUCAUCCACCUGUGCACCAUUUGUAGUCUCAACUGAGGGUCCAUCAGUCGCAAGGCCGGAUUGUGAGGGAUGCAGUGCGAAAGUGCAGCUUUUCUCUGAACCUCAUGAGACUAUGUCUUUAUACACAAACCAUGUAGUAUGUUGCAGAAUGUAGUCAGUGGGCUUUUGCGCCUAUAAAACCUUAUACAACUUUCAGCAACGGAUCUCUUGGCUCUCGCAUCGAUGAAGAACGCAGC